UUACCCCAUGAUGUCAGGUCCGCCGCAUCUCCUGGGUCGUGGGGUCGUCGGCCGGUGCGCAACAGUGGUUCCUCGUGCCGCUUGCGUGCCGGCCGGCAUCCAU
rnacentral:sRNA from 1 species